AAACUUGACGAAGAUGCCAGGAGCUGAGGGUGAGGGACGUGAGUGGCGGUGAGGAGACUGUGCUUGGGAAACAGACUGAAAUGGGGACCUUUCAGUUUGGGACCAUGCGCAGAGAAAGCAGAGGCGAUCGGAGGCACGGAUGUCGUGGCCCGUGUGCUCGGCAGGGCCUGGAGUUCCGGAGCUCUCAGACCUUCUCUUCCUCCGCCCCCAGGAAACUGCUGGAGGGUACACUGUAGCAAAACUGGAGAGUAAACCAAGAAAGAGGAAGACAAAUUAUCCAGGAAAUGGGAUCCCAAAGACAAGAUAAUCAAGCACAUCAAGAUUAUAGCAAGGAGAGACUUCCCAUACCAACAGCCAGGAAUCCAGGCUGAAGCAGGAGGAUGGAAAUCUUUAUGAAAAACAAGAAACUGGGUCUCACUUUAUCACCCAGGCUGGAGUGCAGUGACGUGAUCUCGGCUCACUGCAACCGCCGCCUCCCGGGUUCAAGUGAUUCUCAGGCCACAGUCUCCAGAGUAGCUGAGAUUACAGCACCUCAUGUGGAAGAAGUUGGAAGAACCAGCGACAUCGUUCCAUCAAAGCUGCCUCCAUUUCCGUCUCCUUGUUUAUGUGGAAUACUUCACAGGAAGUGUCGCUGACGUCGAUCAUGUCCCAUCGGGAGGCACCUCAUGGCCAGUUGAUUGGUUUUCUAGAGAUUGAUCCGUGGGUUCAGUUCUUUUUGUCCUUAGAAUAGAUCCACUGGGAAUGUACAGUGAAACUGUUGAAGAGUCUACAUCUUCACCCUCUGCUUGAAAGUCCUUUUUAUGUUCCUGAAAAAGCGCUGGACUGAGUUCGUCUGCCCACUGCCUGGUUGUGUGCCGUUGGCUACUCAAUGCUCACCUCUGAAAUAGACAGACAACACGUUAGCCGACCUUCAGGGAUGCACCCAUGGCUUUGAACGCUAAAAUUAAAUGUAAACUGACCUGUA